rnacentral:rRNA from 1 species
UACGAAGGGGGGCUAGCGUUGCUCGGAAUCACUGGGCGUAAAGCGCACGUAGGCGGAUUGCUAAGUCAGGGGUGAAAUCUCCACGCUCAACGUGGAGGCGCCACCUGAAACUGCCGUGACUCGAGUCCGGUAGGGGAGUGUGGAAUUCCCGGUGUAGCGGUGAAAUGCGUAGAUAUCGUAAGGAAGACCAGUGGCGAAGGCGGGUCUCUGGACAGUUCCUGACGCUGAGGCACGAAGGUCAGGGGAGCGAAACGGGAGUUAGAAAACC